GAAAUGCGAUAAGUAAUGUGAAUUGCAGAAUUCAGUGAAUCAUCGAAUCUUUGAACGCACCUUGCGCUCCUUGGUAUUCCUUGGAGCAUGCCUGUUUGAGUAUCAUGAAAUCCUCAAAGUAAAUCUUUUGUUAACUCAAUUGGUUUCUACUUUGGUAUUGGAGGUCUUUGCAGCUUCACACCUGCUCCUCUUUGUUCAUUAGCUGGAUCUCAGUGUUAUGCUUGGUUCCACUCGGCGUGAUAAGUUAUCUAUCGCUGAGGACACUGUAAAAGGUGGCCAAGGUAAAUGCAGAUGAACCGCUUCUAAUAGUCCAUUGACUUGGACAAUACUUUUAUGAUCUGAUCUCAAAUCAGGUAGGACUACCCGCUGAACUUAAGC
rnacentral:misc_RNA from 1 species